rnacentral:rRNA from 1 species
GUAAACGGCGGCCGUAACUAUAACGGUCCUAAGGUAGCGAAAUUCCUUGUCGGGUAAGUUCCGACCCGCAUGAAAGGCGUAAUGAUUUGGGCACUGUCUCAACGAGGGGCCCGGUGAAAUUGAAAUACCUGUGAAGAUGCAGGUUACCCGCGACUGGACAGAAAGACCCCAUGGAGCUUCACUGCAGCUUGAGAUUGAAUCCCGGUGACAGAUGCACAGGAUAGGUGGGAGGCGCCGAAGCAUUGCCCUAGGGCGGUGCGGAGCCGAUGUUGGGAUACCACCCUUCUGUUGCUGAGAUUCUAACGCGAGGAGUAACGACCCUGCGGACCCUCUCAGGCAGGCGGUUUGACUGGGGCGGUCGCCUCCGAAAGAGUAACGGAGGCGCCCAAAGGUUCCCUCAGGCCGGACAGAAACCGGCCGAAGAGUGCAAAGGCAGAAGGGAGCUUGACUGCGAGACCAACAAGUCGAGCAGAGACGAAAGUCGGGCUUAGUGAUCCGGUGGUACUGGGUGGAAAGGCCAUCGCUCAACGGAUAAAAGCUACCCUGGGGAUAACAGGCUAAUCUCUCCCAAGAGUUCAUAUCGACGGGGAGGUUUGGCACCUCGAUGUCGGCUCAUCACAUCCUGGGGCUGGAGUAGGUCCCAAGGGUUGGGCUGUUCGCCCAUUAAAGUGGUACGCGAGCUGGGUUCAAAACGUCGUGAGACAGUUUGGUUCAUAUCCAUCGCGGGCGAAAGAAGUUUGAGAGGAGCUGCUCCUAGUACGAGAGGACCGGAGUGGACGGAUCAACGGUGUCCCAGUUGUCACGCCAGUGGCACGGCUGGAAAGCCGCAUCCGGGAAGGAUAAACGCUGAAAGCAUCUAAGCGCGAAGCCAACCUCAAGAUGAGACUUCUCAUCAGCAAUGAGUAAGACCCCUUACAGACGAUGAGGUAGAUAGGUUAUGAGUGGAAGAGCCGCAAGGCUUGGAGCGACAUAAAACUAAUAGGUCGAGGUCUUAACUUA